GUCGCUUCUCGGCCUUUUGGCUAAGAUCAAAGUGUAGUAUCUGUUCUUAUCAGCUUAAUAUCUGAUACGUCUCCUACAGGGGACUUCGAUAUUAAACUGAUUUUUGGAACUGGGCGGGGCGUCAGGAGCUUGCUCCACCCCUGCCACGGGUUGGCCUUGAUCUCAAAACUAAAUUCUUUAUUU
rnacentral:snRNA from 1 species